rnacentral:rRNA from 1 species
AGAGUUUGAUCAUGGCUCAGGACGAACGCUGGCGGCGUGCUUAACACAUGCAAGUCGAACGGAAAGGCCCUUCGGGGUACUCGAGUGGCGAACGGGUGAGUAACACGUGGGUGAUCUGCCCUGCACUUUGGGAUAAGCCUGGGAAACUGGGUCUAAUACCGAAUAGGACCGCGCGCUUCAUGGUGUGUGGUGGAAAGCUUUUGCGGUGUGGGAUGGGCCCGCGGCCUAUCAGCUUGUUGGUGGGGUAAUGGCCUACCAAGGCGACGACGGGUAGCCGGCCUGAGAGGGUGACCGGCCACACUGGGACUGAGAUACGGCCCAGACUCCUACGGGAGGCAGCAGUGGGGAAUAUUGCACAAUGGGCGCAAGCCUGAUGCAGCGACGCCGCGUGAGGGAUGACGGCCUUCGGGUUGUAAACCUCUUUCACCAGGGACGAAGCGCAAGUGACGGUACCUGGAGAAGAAGCACCGGCCAACUACGUGCCAGCAGCCGCGGUAAUACGUAGGGUGCGAGCGUUGUCCGGAAUUACUGGGCGUAAAGGGUGCGCAGGCGGUUCUGUAAGUCAGAUGUGAAAUCCCCGGGCUUAACCUGGGAACUGCGUUUGAAACUACAGAGCUAGAGUGUGGCAGAGGGGGGUGGAAUUCCAUGUGUAGCAGUGAAAUGCGUAGAGAUAUGGAAGAACAUCGAUGGCGAAGGCAGCCCCCUGGGUUAACACUGACGCUCAUGCACGAAAGCGUGGGGAGCAAACAGGAUUAGAUACCCUGGUAGUCCAA